AGUGUUGUGGCUCAGUGGUAGAGUGCUUGACUAGCAUGUAUGAGGCCCUGGGUUUGAUCCUCAGCACCACUU
rnacentral:tRNA from 1 species